GCUAAACGCGAAGAACCUUACCUGGUCUUGACAUCCUAGGAAUCCUGCAGAGAUGUGGGAGUGCCUUCGGGAACCUGGAGACAGGUGCUGCAUGGCUGUCGUCAGCUCGUGUCGUGAGAUGUUGGGUUAAGUCCCGCAACGAGCGCAACCCUUGCCCUUAGUUGCCAGCAUUUAGGUGGGAACUCUAAGGGGACCGCCGGUGACAAACCGGAGGAAGGUGGGGAUGAUAUCAAGUCAUCAUGGCCUUUAUGUUCAGGGCUACACACGUGCUACAAUGGAAGGUACAAAACGUCGCAAUCCCGCAAGGGGGAGCUAAUCGCGAAAACCUUCCUCAGUUCGGAUUGGAGUCUGCAACUCGACUCCAUGAAGUUGGAAUCGCUAGUAAUCGCAAAUCAGCAUGUUGCGGUGAAUACGUUCCCGGGUCUUGUACACAC
rnacentral:rRNA from 1 species